ensembl:lncRNA
GGGUAGAGUCCAGUGUGUUGGGUAGAGUCCAGUGUGUUGGGUAGAGUCCUGUGUGUUGGGUAGAGUCCAGUGUGUUGGGUAGAGUCCAGUGUGUUGGGUAGAGUCCAGUGUGUUGGGUAGAGUCCAGUGUGUUGGGUAGAGUCCAGUUUGUUGGAUAGAGUCCAGUGUGUAAAUAGAGUCCCGUGUGUAAAUAGAGUCCAGUGUGUAAAUAGAGUCCUGUGUGUAGAUAGAGUCCAGUGUGUAGAUAGAGUCCAGUGUGUGUGUAGAGUCCAGUGUGUGGGUAGAGUCCAGUGUGUUGGGUAGAGUAGUGUGUUGGGUAGAGUAGUGUGUGGGUAGAGUCCAGUGUGUGUGUAGAGUCCAGUGUGUGGGGGUAGAGUCCAGUUUGUUGGGUAGAGUCCAGUGUGUUGGGUAGAGUCCAGUUUGUUGGGUAGAGUCCAGUGUGUUGGGUAGAGUCCAGUGUGUGUG